rnacentral:rRNA from 1 species
UACGUAGGUGACAAGCGUUGUCCGGAUUUACUGGGCGUAAAGAGCGCGCAGGCGGUCGAUCAAGUCGAGUGUGAAAGCCCCCGGCUCAACUGGGGAGGGUCAUUCGAUACUGAUCGACUCGAAGGCAGGAGAGGGUAGUGGAAUUCCCGGUGUAGUGGUGAAAUGCGUAGAGAUUGGGAAGAACACCAGUGGCGAAGGCGGCUAUCUGGACGGUUUCUGACACUAAGACUCGAAAGCGUGGGGAGCAAACAGG